rnacentral:rRNA from 1 species
GAGUUUGAUCCUGGCUCAGAUUGAACGCUGGCGGCAGGCCUAACACAUGCAAGUCGAGCGGUAGAGAGAAGCUUGCUUCUCUUGAGAGCGGCGGACGGGUGUGUAAUGCCUAGGAAUCUGCCUGGUAGUGGGGGAUAACGCUCGGAAACGGACGCUAAUACCGCAUACGUCCUACGGGAGAAAGCAGGGGACCUUCGGGCCUUGCGCUAUCAGAUGAGCCUAGGUCGGAUUAGCUAGUUGGUGAGGUAAUGGCUCACCAAGGCGACGAUCCGUAACUGGUCUGAGAGGAUGAUCAGUCACACUGGAACUGAGACACGGUCCAGACUCCUACGGGAGGCAGCAGUGGGGAAUAUUGGACAAUGGGCGAAAGCCUGAUCCAGCCAUGCCGCGUGUGUGAAGAAGGUCUUCGGAUUGUAAAGCACUUUAAGUUGGGAGGAAGGGCAGUAAAUUAAUACUUUGCUGUUUUGACGUUACCGACAGAAUAAGCACCGGCUAACUCUGUGCCAGCCGCC